rnacentral:rRNA from 1 species
CAACGGGUGCGGAACACGUACGCAACCUUCCCAUAACUGGUGAGUAGCUUCCCGAAAGGGAGAUUAAUACACCGUAACAUAAUGAAGAGGCAUCUCUUUAUUAUUAUAGGCUUCGGCCGGUUUUGGAUGGGGCGUGCGCUUGAUUAGGUAGUUGGGCGGGGUAACGGCCCACCAAGCCUGCGAUCAGUAACUGGUGUGAGAGCACGACCAGUCACACGGGCACUGAGACACGGGCCCGACUCCUACGGGAGGCACAGUAAGGAAUAUUGGUCAAUGGACGAAAGUCUGAACCAGCCAUGCCGCGUGAAGGGUGAAGGCCCUCUGGGUUGUAAACCUUCUUUUAUCUGGGACGAAAAAAGCUCAUUCUUGAGCACUUGACGGUACCAGAGGAAUAAGCACCGGUAACUCCGUGCCAGCAGCCGCGGUAAUACGGAGGGUGCAAGCGUUAUCCGGAUUUAUUGGGUUUAAAGGGUCCGUAGGCGGAUCUGUAAGUCAGUGGUGAAAUCUCACAGUUUAACUGUGAAACUGCCAUUGAUACUGCAGGUCUUGAGUGUUGUGAAGUACUGGAAUAAGUAGUGUACGGUGAAAUGCUUAGAUUUA